CCUACGGGUGGCAGCAGUGAGGAAUAUUGGUCAAUGGACGAGAGUCUGAACCAGCCAAGUAGCGUGAAGGAUGACUGCCCUAUGGGUUGUAAACUUCUUUUAUAUGGGAAUAAAAUGUUCCACGUGUGGGAUUUUGUAUGUACCAUAUGAAUAAGGAUCGGCUAACUCCGUGCCAGCAGCCGCGGUAAUACGGAGGGUCCGAGCGUUAUCCGGAUUUAUUGGGUUUAAAGGGAGCGUAGGGGGAUUGUUAAGUCAGUUGUGAAAGUUUGCGGCUCAACCGUAAAAUUGCAGUUGAAACUGGCAGUCGUGAGUACAGUAGAGGUGGGCGGAAUUCGAGGUGUAGCGGUGAAAUGCUUAGAUAUCACGAAGAACUCCGAUUGCGAAGGCAGCUCACUGGACUGCAACUGACACUGAGGCUCGAAAGUGAGGGUAUCAAACAGGAUUAGAUACCCCAGUAGUC
rnacentral:rRNA from 1 species